UACGUAGGGUGCAAGCGUUGUCCGGAAUUAUUGGGCGUAAAGAGCUCGUAGGCGGUCCGUCACGUCGGCUGUGAAAACUCGGGGCUCAACCCCGAGCCUGCAGUCGAUACGGGCGGACUAGAGUCCGGCAGGGGAGACUGGAAUUCCUGGUGUAGCGGUGAAAUGCGCAGAUAUCAGGAGGAACACCGGUGGCGAAGGCGGGUCUCUGGGCCGAUAUUGACGCUGAGGAGCGAAAGCGUGGGGAGCAAACAGG
rnacentral:rRNA from 1 species